rnacentral:rRNA from 1 species
ACGCUCGACACCUACGGAGGCAGCAGUGAGGAAUAUUGGUCAAUGGGCGCAGGCCUGAACCAGCCAAGUAGCGUGAAGGAUGACUGCCCUAUGGGUUGUAAACUUCUUUUAUAUGGGAAUAAAGUUUUCCACGUGUGGAAUUUUGUAUGUACCAUAUGAAUAAGGAUCGGCUAACUCCGUACCAGCAGCCGCGGUAAUCUGAGCGGGCUGGCAAGGC